GGUGCAGGUGAUGAUACUGUUCAGCGACCAAAGUCUGACAAAAAUGAUUGCUACUCAUCAUCUGAUGCACC
ensembl:snoRNA small nucleolar RNA Z17